rnacentral:rRNA from 1 species
CCUACGGGUGGCAGCAGUGAGGAAUAUUGGUCAAUGGACGAGAGUCUGAACCAGCCAAGUAGCGUGAAGGAUGACUGCCCUAUGGGUUGUAAACUUCUUUUAUAUGGGAAUAAAAUGUUCCACGUGUGGGAUUUUGUAUGUACCAUAUGAAUAAGGAUCGGCCAACUCCGUGCCAGCAGCCGCGGUAAUACGGAGGAUCCGAGCGUUAUCCGGAUUUAUUGGGUUUAAAGGGAGCGUAGGUGGAUUGUUAAGUCAGUUGUGAAAGUUUGCGGCUCAACCGUAAAAUUGCAGUUGAAACUGGCAGUCUUGAGUACAGUAGAGGUGAGCGGAAUUCGUGGUGUAGCGGUGAAAUGCUUAGAUAUCACGAAGAACUCCGAUUGCGAAGGCAGUUCACUGGACUGCAACUGACACUGAGGCUCGAAAGUGUGGGUAUCAAACAGGAUUAGAUACCCUAGUAGUC